AUCCCACCUUGGUGGCCUACUCUGACCAUCCCUUGACCUCAUCCCUGGUAAUUCCCAUUUGAAAUCUGCAUAAUUUCCCAUUUGACCAUCCCCUAACCACCCACACAGACCUCGAGUUCACAUUUGAGAAUCCCUAACUGACCCUUGCUCUUCUCCCAGGGGCCCUCUGGCCUCCCAGGGCUGAAGGGAGACACUGGCCCCAAGGGGGAAAAGGGCCACAUUGGAUUGAUCGGUCUCAUUGGCCCCCCGGGAGAAGCUGGUGAGAAAGGAGAUCAGGGGUUGCCAGGCGUGCAGGGACCCCCUGGUCCCAAGGGAGACCCUGGUCCCCCUGGUCCCAUUGGCUCUCUGGGCCACCCUGGGCCCCCAGGUGUGGCGGUGAGUAUGCAGGGAAUCUUUUGUGGGAUGAGGUCACUGUGGUGGUCCAGGCCAGGACCUCAGCUCUCCCUGUCUGUACCCUACAGGGCCCUCUAGGACAGAAAGGCUCAAAAGGGUCUCCGGUGAGUACACCCUGCUUCCGUGGGCUUACACAUCCCAGCUCCCCACCCCCUUCACUGCACCAGAACCCUCCACGUCUCUGCCUUCAUUUAUUUAUUUAUUCAUGCAAUCGUGCGUUCGACAAAUAUUUAUUCAACACCUACGGUUGUAUUUCAUCAGAUCCAAAAUGCCAUCAAUUAUAAGAUGUACCAUUAUUUUACAAACUGCUAGGAAAGAAAACAGUUCUGCCAAGUAAACUAUGACUUGCCAAAGAUGUUAAGAAGCUGAUUUCAGAGACAUUAAAACAUGAAAAGAAAAUUUGUGUCUGAUGCCUAAUGCUGAAAACUGCAUGUC
rnacentral:lncRNA from 10 species